rnacentral:rRNA from 1 species
UAUUAAAGGCAAUGCCUGCCCAGUGAGAACUUCUUCAACGGCCGCGGUACCCUAACCGUGCAAAGGUAGCGUAAUCAUUUGUCUAUUAAUUGUAGACCAGUAUGAAAGGCCACAUGAGAGUCAAACUGUCUCUUGUAAUUAAUCAAUUAAACUGAUCUCCCAGUACAAAAGCUGGAAUACACCUAUAAGACCAGAAGACCCUGUGAAGCUUAAACUAACCUAUUAAACCUAAUAAUAACUACUUUCAGUUGGGGCGACUUUGGAACAAAACAGAACUUCCAAACAACAUGAGCCUUCCCUCAUACCAAAGGCCAACAAGCCAUCACAAGACCCAGUAACACUGACAAUUGAACCAAGUUACUCCAGGGAUAACAGCGCCAUCUUCUUUAAGAGCCCAUAUCAAAAAGAAGGUUUACGACCUCGAUGUUGGAUCAGGACACCCAAAUGGUGCAGCCGSUAUUAAAGGUUCGUUUGUUCAACGAUUAACAGUCCU